GACGAACGCUGGCGGCGUGCCUAAUACAUGCAAGUUGAGCGCUGAAGGUUGGUACUUGUACCAACUGGAUGAGCAGCGAACGGGUGAGUAACGCGUGGGGAAUCUGCCUUUGAGCGGGGGACAACAUUUGGAAACGAAUGCUAAUACCGCAUAAAAACUUUAAACACAAGUUUUAAGUUUGAAAGAUGCAAUUGCAUCACUCAAAGAUGAUCCCGCGUUGUAUUAGCUAGUUGGUGAGGUAAAGGCUCACCAAGGCGAUGAUACAUAGCCGACCUGAGAGGGUGAUCGGCCACAUUGGGACUGAGACACGCCCCAAACUCCUACGGGAGGCAGCAGUAGGGAAUCUUCGGCAAUGGACGAAAGUCUGACCGAGCAACGCCGCGUGAGUGAAGAAGGUUUUCGGAUCGUAAAGCUCUGUUGGUAGAGAAGAACGUUGGUGAGAGUGGAAAGCUCAUCAAGUGACGGUAACUACCCAGAAAGGGACGGCUAACUACGUG
rnacentral:rRNA from 1 species